GCUGGGCUUUAUUUUCUAGAACUUUAGUUAAAUUCUUGUUUUCAUGUGUGCAGUUGACAUACUCAAGGUACAUUUCUCAAGGUAGCUUUGAGUCUAAGGGGACCCUGGUUGUAGGCGGAGCCGGGUUCAGAUGCCUAAUCCAGGGGGUCAUGGAGGAACCAGGGCUCUAAACAAGAGUAAAGAUGAUUUUGGACAAAUAACCCAUCUCACCCAAUAGGCAAGGGCUCUUCUGACAUUCCCUGAGGGGGCUCAGAGACUUAUGGGAAACGGCGUCGUCCCAAAUUUGAUGGAUGACCGGAGCAGAGCCCAGGGAACGGGAUCCCUCGCAGCUCCUUCUGCGCAUGUGCAGCUCUUCCUCCUUGUUCGCCCGCUCCCUCGUCUCCAGCUUCGCAGCGCUGGUAAUCGACAAGCCUCCCGGUCGACGCGCUGCUCCGUGACCGAGUCCUGCCGGAAGAAUGCGCACCCCAGGUGAGAACCUAGUUUGGAGGGUUGCUUUGCCGGGUGUGGGAUAGGUCUGUGCCCACUCGUGGUGGAAGCGAAAACUUGGGCGAAUCCCACGCGGCCCGAGACCCUAACGAAAACCAGAGACAAAGUAGUUUGGCUGCAGACCCGCAGGUUCCACGACAAGGAUAAGGGCGCGGGUUUCUUGGUCAGAAUACAGUGCUCCGAGAAAAGGCAUCUGACUGUUAAAGAGCUGUUUCCAGAAGCUCUUUGAAUUUGCCCGUGCCCUGGUCACGUAUUCAUUAGCGAGUCAAAUCCAGGACAGCAGCGGGGAUGAAAGUGAAUUCUUGUAUUUAUUAUAUGCCUGCAAGCUAAGGGCAGGUGGCGGGUCUGCAUUAUAGCAGACUGAUACAGGAGCCUCAGUUUGAACUCAGACGAGUUUAAAUUCUAGCUCGGCCACUGAGUCUCCAUGGGCAACAUGAUGAGCCUCUAAGACUCAGUUUCCCCAUCCUAAAAUGAACUCAUUCCUAAAACCUGCCUCAAGGUUGCUCUGCGGAUUGAAUAAGACAGCACCUAUGAAGCACUCAUCAUGGGUCCUCACUGAGUAACUGGGAAAUGUUAAUUACCUUUAUCACCGUUCUUUUCAUUAAGAAUAUUAUUUAUUUCCAAAGACCCCCUGUAAAUUUGGUAUUAAUCCCCUUUUAACCGAGAAGAAAACCAAGGCUCUGGAGGUGAAGCCUCAUGGACAGUAACUGAGGGAGCUGGGAUGCAUGUCUCAGUUUUAUUUCUAAAUCCCAUGCCGGGGUUCGUCCAGCAGCACAUCCUUUACAGCACUUAGCAGAGUGGCAAGCCCCCAAGCGCCACGAGGAACAACCUGGAGUGGACCAGGCUGACGUCUCUAGAGUUCUUGGAGAUUUCUUGGCAUCUGUUCAGAACCCUCGGGUUACCGCGUAAUGGAGGCUUCUAGACGUCAAGGGGCUUCAAGCCCCUUGAGGGCUUGUUAAAACCCAAGAGCUGUCUGGGCCCCACCUCCAGCAUCUCUGGUUCAGAAGGGCCCCCAAAUCGGCAUUUCUAUCAAGUUCCCCAGUGAUGCUAAUACUGCUGGUCUGGGAGCCACAAAAGUUGUACAGGGGUGGUGAAGGCCAAGAGAGAGUUGGGACCUGGGCUGGAGAUUAUUUGAAUUUACCCCCUCCAGCCAGGUUCCUAUUUCCUUGGAUCACACAGCUCUUGUGAGGAAAGAAGGUGGGGCCACCAGAAGCAGGACUCCCACCUGGGAGGGGAGAUCCCCAUCCUACCUGGAUACAGCUCACCUCCGAUGCGGGGGCACAGAUCCCAGGAACAAGCACGUUCUAUCUUGACUUCCUCUGGGGCAAUUCCUGAUCCUUUCGCCCUGAAGAGCAUCACCACACCAGAGGUUGUCGAGAGCCGUCAAUCGGUGAAGAUGUGAGCCAACUUUCAAAAGAGAGAGGUCAGCUGAGCUGAGGGUGCUGGGCAAGAGGCAGGCUCCCUGGGAUGAGGAAAUCCUGUGGAUGGUUGGUGAGGCUGUGGUCUGGGAAGAAGGUGGGGGAGACACUCUCUCCACUCCUCCCAGAGACUCCUCCCCGCAAUUUUAUUCUCCAGUCCCUCUUCUGGGAUCUACACAGCCCACAGACCCUGGCCAUCACCUCAUCUGGAAUUUAGAGAUAUGCUACCCCCCCCAUUCCUGCCUUUGUAGGAGUACAGAAAGGGGGUCUUCAGGAGUUCUAUAAUCCUGCCUCAUUUUAGAAGUGAACAGUAUGAACUCUGAGCGAGUCAUUAGCAUAGGGUUAAGUUCAAGGUUUCUGGAGACUACCAGGGUUCAAAGCGUGGCUCUACCCUGUUACUUUCACUUCUUUCCCUCAAUUUCCUCAUCUGUAAACUGGGAGUAAUAACACUACCUACAUUCUGCUUUAUUUUAAGGAAUAAAUGAGGUAAUAUAUGUGAAGGACUUAGAAUAGUGCCUGUUACACAGGAAGCAUGACCCAAGUAUUUUCAGUAUCAUCAAUAUUAUUAUAAUCUCAGUUUACAUUAUUUGUUAGUCCCAGCACCUAAAGGGGCAUUGGGGCCCCCUGACUCCCAAGUCCCGUCCUGUCUACUAUGUCUCAGUUAAAGCAAAAUUAGUUUCUUAAUAAAAAAUCCUUUGGAGGGGCACCUGGGUGGCUCAGUCAGUUGAGCGUCCAACUCUUGAUUUAGGCUCAAGUCGUGAACUCACAGUUGUGGGGUCCAGCCCCAUGUCCUGCUGAGCAUGGAACCUGCUUGGGAUUCUCUCCCUCUCGGCCCCUCCCCACCCACGUGCAUGCUCUCUCUCUCUCUCUCUCUCUCUCUCUCUCUCUCUCUCAUUAAAUAAAUACACAUUUAAAAAAAAAAAUUCUUUGGAGACACUGAAACCAAAGGAGAAUAAAUCCCUUUUAGAAAAAAUGGACUCCCUUGAAGCACACCUGUCCCUCUUGUCAGAGGUUCCUAUUAAUUCUUUAACUUGAAGGAGUUGAAAAUACAAGUAGAAGAGUAAAUGAGCAGAUCUCUGUCAGGUUUUUGUUGUUUGCUGCGUCCUUUUUUACACUUUUUCUGGUGGAAAUAUUCAAGACAUACGGAAGAAAAUAGUGUAAUGACUCCCAUAUAUUUGUCACAGCUUCAGCCAUUAUCAACAUAUGAUCAUUCUGUUUCAUCUGUCCCUGCCCCAGUUACACACAUGUACGUGUUCUCCCUUCCACUUUCUGUGACCAGAUUACUGUAAAGGAGGUCCCAGACAGCAAAGACUUCAGAAUGUACCAUGUUUAAUAAUGGCCAGAGACACGGCUGUCAUCCUUGCUAAGAUUUGUUUAACCCGGUCUUUGUCUGGUUUUAUAUUUGUCUGUUAUAAAUCAAAGAAAGCUGUAAGAAACCAAUUGUAAGAAACCAAUAAGAUAAAAAUAUUUACUCUCCCCGGUGAAAAGUAUGCUUCUCUUGGCUCCCCGAGGUUACACCAGGGUCACGAGAGUCCCCUCGGCACACCUGCCCCCUCUGAAGGGUAAGAGACUUUCUCCCACCACGUGGCUGUUUGCCAGCUAUGACGUGUGGAUUUCUAGGCAAGUGCUAUGAGGACUGUCAGGACCGACCGCUUUUCUCGUGAUUUCUCUGCUGCUUCCGCUUCCUCCAGCUCUGCCCCCACACUUCUUGAAACUUUUCCUGGAGCAGGAGAAAAUGAACACAUCCCAGGGAUCAGUGUUGUUCAAAGAUGUAUCUGUGGACUUCACCCUGAAGGAGUGGCGGCUGCUGGACCCGGCCCAGAGGCUCCUGUGCAGGGAUGUGAUACUGGAGAACUACGGGCACCUGGUGUCCCUGGGCCCUGAACCUUCAGCAACUUUGCCGAGCCCCAUGUCAUUUCCCACAACAGGGCGCUGUGUCACCAGACCUGAGCUGAUAUUCAAGUUGGAGCAAGGAGGAGAGCCAUGGGUACCAAGGAGGGAACUCCCAAGUCAGAGCCCCCCAGGUGAGUUAACGAAGGUAGACAGAAGGCAGCUGGUGGACAUUGGAUCCCAAAUGGCCAGUUCAGGGUAUUUUUCAAAAUGUUUUAGAAAUCUCUUUUAUUUUUUUAAGUUGAUAUGUUUCUUUUGAGAGAGAGAGCAA